rnacentral:rRNA from 1 species
UCGAGAAUUUUUCACAAUGGGCGCAAGCCUGAUGGAGCGACGCCGCGUGGGGGAUGAAGGGUUUCGAUCCGUAAACCCCUGUCAUUUGCGAACAAACCUUAUGGGAUAACACCCCAUGAGCUGAUUGUAGUGAAAGAGGAAGGGACGGCUAACUCUGUGCCAGCAGCCGCGGUAAUACAGAGGUCCCAAGCGUUGUUCGGAUUCACUGGGCGUAAAGGGUGCGUAGGUGGCCGUGGAAGUUCGGUGUGAAAGCUCGGAGCUCAACUCCGAAAAGGCAUUGAAUACUCUACGGCUGGAGGGUCGGAGGGGAGACUGGAAUUCUCGGUGUAGCAGUGAAAUGCGUAGAUAUCGAGAGGAACACCAGUGGCGAAGGCGAGUCUCUGGACGACUCCUGACACUGAGGCACGGAAAGCUAGGGGAGCAAACAGGAUUAGAUACCCUGGUAGUCCUAGCUGUAAACGGUGCACGUUUG